rnacentral:lncRNA from 1 species
UGCCCAUGCAGUCAUGUGGGGAAGUGUGAGUGUGACUAUGAGUGAGAGAAGUUUGCCUCUUGGAAAAUCCAUGGCAGGUUAGAACCUGAAAUUGGAGCCACAACAGGCUGAUGGAGUUGCCUUCUCUCUGAUCAUUGGCAGCAGCAAGUCAGGCUCCAGCAUUAAAACCUGCAUCCAAAAUCUCACACAAGCAGAUGGGGAAGAAACCAGUUCCAGCAAUGACCUCAUCAGGACCAAACUUCUCUGGAUUUUGACCUGCUAUGAAUUAAUAUCCUCAGAGUCUCUGUAAAUGCUGAAUCUCUUCCCUAAACAUCAGUACCUGGAUACCAGUGUCACAUCCAGCAAGGAAGUUCUCCAGAAUAUACUAAGCCUAUUUAUGUGAAUCUGGAACAAUGAGCUCCUGAAAGCUGCUUCUGUGGUAGUGUGUCAUUUUCCUUCAACUUUCAACAUUUCAGGCAUUAAAAA